rnacentral:tRNA from 1 species
AGAAAAAGAUAGGUUAUAAAAACCGCUGAGCUGUGGAUUCAGAAAUGUAUAAAAAUACUCUUUUUC